rnacentral:tRNA from 1 species
GCCCAUUUAGCUCAGUGGUUAGAGUGUUGUCUCACAGACUGAAGCUCAUGGGUUUGAUUCCCAGUGAAGGGCA